rnacentral:ncRNA from 1 species
GAAGGAUGAGCGAGUAGCGACCGCUCAAUAUGCCGUCAUGCGUUUUAUUGAAUAAAGCCCAGGUACAGGAUGACCGCCUGGUAAGUCAAUUUGUAAAAUCGCCUG